rnacentral:lncRNA from 1 species
GAAAGCCAAUUGUUUGAGAUACAGUGUUUGAAGAUCUAACUUUGAAUGGGAAAUUUGAUGUUUUUGUGUUAGCAUAAAAUGCUGCCAUUCAACAGGGGAAAGAAGGAAAUAUAUGGAAUUUGUUGCUAGAAUUUACCAAAAUUGAGACCUAAUUUCCUUGCAUUUUUGUUUAAUGCUGUUCCAGUUGGAGGCAUGAAAUGAGCUGGAUGCAUCAUCUGAGGAUGGCAGCUCCACAGGAAUCCACCAACCUGCUAAAAGGCUUUGCAUGUGUUUGUUUAUUUUGGGGAUUGUUUUUCUCAGUUUAAGGAUGCUUAUCCAGAACCAGCUUUCUACACUGGCAAGCAAAAAUGAAUGUACUUCAAAUAAUCAAGAGGAAACCAGGCUGUUUUAAGGUUCUACAUCCUUAUCCAUCUCAGAUCGCCGCUCGUUUCCAUUUGGAGUCAUGUUUCCCUUCAAAACUCAAGACAACUGAGAGUCAGUUCAAGAUGAUCACUGUGGUUGCUGGCUUCCUGCCUUUUCCUGCCUCACUUCUCCACUACUCUGAGAUUGCUUUCUGCACCUUUCUAAAAAACCCUUGCACUUGA